rnacentral:misc_RNA from 1 species
AGGAGCCUGGUCGCUGUAGUGGCGCCGGCUUGGUGCACAACAAACUUCUUUGACUGCCAGACACACUAUUGGGCUUUGAGACAACAGGCCCGUGCCCCUUUUUGGGGGGUGGCAUCCGGUUGCGGGUGUCGGCGUGUUGUUGCCUCACUUUGGUGGUGGGGUGUGGUGUUUGAUUUGUGGAUAGUGGUUGCGAGCAUCUAGCACGCAGUGUGGCUGGGGGCCUUCGGGUUUCCGGUCUUGUUGUGUGUUGAUGUGCAAUUUCUUUUGAAACUCAUUUUUGGUUUUUGUGU